rnacentral:rRNA from 2 species
CUAACACAUGCAAGUCGAGCGAUGGACAUUCAUUGAUCCCUUCGGGGUGAUUUGAUUGGGAUUAGCGGCGAACGGGUGAGUAACGCGUGAGGAACCUGCCUCUUACAACGGGAUAGCCUCGGGAAACCGGGAUUAAUACCGUAUAAGACUCCGACAUCUCCUGAUGAUGAAGUCAAAGCGUAUGCGGUAAGAGAUGGCCUCGCGUCUGAUUAGUUAGUUGGCGGGGUAACGGCCCACCAAGACGACGAUCAGUAACCGGCCUGAGAGGGUGAACGGUCACAUUGGAACUGAGACACGGUCCAAACUCCUACGGGAGGCAGCAGUGGGGAAUCUUGCACAAUGGGGGCAACCCUGAUGCAGCGACGCCGCGUGAGCGAUGAAGGUUUUCGAAUCGUAAAGCUCUGUCCUAUGGGAAGAUAAUGACGGUACCAUAGGAGGAAGCCCCGGCUAACUACGUGCCAGCAGCCGCGGUAA